CAGGCUAAUAAGAGGAGGGCAUAGGAGCAAUCCCUAGCCUCCAAUAUUGGCAGUCCACCUCGAUCUGAAGAAGCUGAAGAUUUUCUACCUGACCCUAUCCUCACUAUCAGUCCAUUGUCCCCAGUGCUCCUCAACCUCCGCAUCCGGUCCCUCUAUCUUCUAAUGAUAGUGAUCUAAUAAAAGAAUCUGAUAUUCUGAUUUUUCUACCUUAGUCAUUGGAUCUUAGAUUUCUGCUAUCAUAGCACCUCUUGCUACCUUAAUAAAUAAUGGUGAAGAGAUAAGCUAGCCCGAAGAUUGCUUAGGUCAUCCAUUGAGAGGCUCCUAUCCCUGUCCUCUCUUUUCUACAAUAUAGUGAUCAAAGACUCAAUCUCCUUCGCCUUUUGAAAAUAUCCCCAACUUUUAUAUAGUUCCACCUUGAGAUCCUUCACCUCAUCAAUUCAAGCUGUUGGUGACUGGAUGUAUGGCAUCACCCGCACCGGCAACCUUCAAAUCUCCCGCAUAAUGUCCCAUGAAUGAGCAUAAGACAAUCGAAAUUUCUCAAGUCAGAAUGAGCUCUGAUGAGAAAAAUUUGAGUUAGUAGAGAGCAAAACUGAACAA
rnacentral:lncRNA from 1 species